AACAACUCUCAGCAACGGAUAUCUUGGCUCUUGCAACGAUGAAGAACGCGCAGAAUUCCGCGAAUCAUCGAGUCUUUGAACGCAAGUUGCGCCCGAGGCUUGUCCGAGGGCAUUUCCGCUAGAGCGUCACCGCGCCCCCCACCGAUCCA
rnacentral:rRNA from 1 species